AUUGCCCCAGUAACGGCGAGUGAAGCGGCAACAGCUCAAAUUUGAAAUCUGGCUCUCGGGCCCGAGUUGUAAUUUGUAGAGGAUGCUUUUGGUGAGGUGCCUUCCGAGUUCCCUGGAACGGGACGCCAUAGAGGGUGAGAGCCCCGUCUGGUUGGACACCGAUCCUCUGUAAAGCUCCUUCGACGAGUCGAGUAGUUUGGGAAUGCUGCUCUAAAUGGGAGGUAUAUGUCUUCUAAAGCUAAAUACCGGCCAGAGACCGAUAGCGCACAAGUAGAGUGAUCGAAAGAUGAAAAGAACUUUGAAAAGAGAGUUAAACAGUACGUGAAAUUGUUGAAAGGGAAGCGCUUGUGACCAGACUUGGGCUUGGUUGAUCAUCCGGGGUUCUCCCCGGUGCACUCUUCCGGCUCAGGCCAGCAUCAGUUCGCCCUGGGGGAUAAAGGCUUCGGGAAUGUGGCUCUCUCCGGGGAGUGUUAUAGCCCGCUGCGUAAUACCCUGUGGCGGACUGAGGUUCGCGCAUUCGCAAGGAUGCUGGCGUAAUGGUCAUCAGUGACCCGUCUUGAAACACGGACCAAGGAGUCGUCUUCGUAUGCGAGUGUUCGGGUGUCAAACCCCUACGCGAAAUGAAAGUGAACGCAGGUGAGAGCUUCGGCGCAUCAUCGACCGAUCCUGAUGUUAUCGGAUGGAUUUGAGUAAGAGCAUACGGGGCCGGACCCGAAAGAAGGUGAACUAUGCCUGUGUAGGGUGAAGCCAGAGGAAACUCUGGUGGAGGCUCGCAGCGGUUCUGACGUGCAAAUCGAUCGUCAAACAUGGGCAUGGGGGCGAAAGACUAAU
rnacentral:rRNA from 2 species